CGGGAGGCAGCCCUAUUGCAUCUUUCCCAAUGGGGGAACCCCUGAUGCAGCAACGCCACGUGUGGGAAGAAGCAUUUCGGUGUGUAAACCACUGUCGUGAAGGAAUAAUGCUUGGUUUCGGCCAAGUUGAAUGUACUUUGAAAGGAAGCACCGGCAAACUUCGUGCCAGCAGCCGCGGUAAUACGAGGGGUGCAAGCGUUGUUCGGAAUCACUGGGCGUAAAGGGAGCGCAGGCGGGGAUGCAAGCAGUCUGUACAAUACCGGGGCCCAACCCCGGACCUGCAGACUGGACUGUUUCCCUUGGAUAGCUCAGGGGCUGGCGGAAUUCCUGGUGUAGCGGUGGAAUGCGUAGAGAUCAGGAAGAACACCGAUGGCGAAGGCAGCCAGCUGGGGGCUUAUCGACGCUCAUGCUCGAAAGUGCGGGUAGCAAACAGGAUUAGAUACCCUGGUA
rnacentral:rRNA from 1 species